rnacentral:rRNA from 1 species
AAACUCCGCAAUGCGGGAAACCGUGACGGGGCUACCCCGAGUGCCUCCCUUGUGGAGGCUUUUCUCCGCUGUAGGGAGGCGGAGGAAUAAGCGGGGGGCAAGUCUGGUGUCAGCCGCCGCGGUAAUACCAGCCCCGCGAGUGGUCGGGGUGCUUACUGGGCCUAAAGCGGCCGUAGCCGGCCCGGUAAGUCCCCCCUUAAAGCCCCGGGCUCAACCCGGGGACCGGGGGGAUACUGCCGGGCUAGAGGGCGGGAGAGGCCGGCGGUACUCCCGGGGUAGGGGCGAAAUCCUAUAAUCCCGGGAGGACCACCAGUGGCGAAGGCGGCCGGCUGGAACGCGCCUGACGGUGAGGGCCGAAAGCCGGGGGAGCGAACCGGAUUAGAUACCCGGGUAGUCCCGGCUGUAAACGAUGCGGGCUAGGUGUUGGGCGAGCGAUAGGGCUCGCCCAGUGCCACAGGGAA